AAAUUGAAGAGUUUGAUCAUGGCUCAGAUUGAACGCUGGCGGCAGGCCUAACACAUGCAAGUCGAACGGUAACAGGAAGCAGCUUGCUGCUUCGCUGACGAGUGGCGGACGGGUGAGUAAUGUCUGGGAAACUGCCUGAUGGAGGGGGAUAACUACUGGAAACGGUGGCUAAUACCGCAUAACGUCGCAAGACCAAAGAGGGGGACCUUCGGGCCUCUUGCCAUCAGAUGUGCCCAGAUGGGAUUAGCUGGUUGGUGAGGUAACGGCUCACCAAG
rnacentral:rRNA from 1 species